GCUCCACGGCCCUGCAGUAAAUGCUCCUGGUCUCUGAAGCUCCUCCUCCUAGUCUUCUCGGCCUGGUAGAGUCGGGCAAAAUUCUAAGGCAGCUUUCCCCGGAAAGAGGUCCUAGAGCGGCGGCGCGCAAGCGCUCUUUGCGUCGCCUAGUCUCUUUGGAAGUGCUUUUCUCUCGAUUAUCUCGUUUAUCCUGAAUAACAUUCCAUACACAUCAAAACCAGAAGCAAGACCAAAGGAGACUGAGCAGAGCUGGCAACUUUUGUUCUACCCUGAACCCCCAACCUCAACCAACUCCACGCCUGUAAAAAGGUACUGGAAUGAAAAGUUAAGGACUGAUCUUUUUAUAAAAGACUUCCUUCAGCCAGGAUUUUAUAUUUCAAUAUGCUUCUGGAGUCAACGACCUUCCCUUAUAUAUAGUUUCCCACUCCUACUUUGCUCUUUAGAGAUGGGAUGGUCAUGCAAACCUUUUGGAGUCAAAACUCAGAAUCUCUAUCUGGUUUUGAGAUGGCUCCUCCUCUUUAUGCUUAUUCUUUAAUGUGACUAAAUGUCACACUUCUUUGGUUCAAGGGGAUAUAUAAACUCAAUAAAGGAAUAUUCUUGCUAAUAGAAUUUUUCAUAGACUGGGAUAAUCAAUGGAUCCUUUCUUUUACAGUUUGGAGUAUGUUUGCUGAGACUGGGGGGGUCAGGGUAGAACAAAAAGUUGCCAGCUCUACCCAGUUCCCUAGUCUUGCUUCUGGGGUGAUUUGUAUGCAUCUGUAUUAGUGAUCUCAAAUAGGAUGGAGUUUGAAAAGAAUAUCCUUACAAAACUCUACCCAGUUGCUUUGGAGUUUUGCCAAGUAGAAUUUCCAGGAUGAUAUACUGAAACCUCAGGCAAAACCAGGGCUAUGACAGAGGCAUUUAAAGGAAUUCUUAAAAUCAUAAUUCUGAUAUUGGAAUCCAUGAACUUUUAAAAACAAUUUUCAUAAAUUCAAUGUUUACUUUGUAAUCCUUUAUUUUAUCCACUUAAAAACAUUAUCCUGAGAUGAGUCCAUGACAAAAGUUUUAAGAACCCCUGACAGACUGAAAUAGUGGCUGGCCUGGAUCUGAAAUCCCAAGAGAGUUGUAUGAGCAGUGUGCUAAAAAAGAACCCAUACCCUCUAAUAACUAGAGCUGUGAUUACAAUUCAACAAAGAUACCAACAGAUGGCAGCAGACCUUACUAGCAAAAAGAAGCAAAGACCAACCUAUGAUGCAAAUGAAGCAGUAGAGGUGUGCAACUCAGGGACAUCAUCAGAACACAUCGGCCUCCUUGAGACUAUCCCAGCCCAGGAGCUAGCUGAAAUGAUGCUUUCAAAGCUCCAAUUGCCUUGGCUACAUGUUCCCUAGCCAAGUGUCUUUCUUCCAUGAGUGUUCUGUUCACUCUCCUAUGGGUGAUGUGCUAACCUGUGGGAGUGUUUUCUCUAUACAUAGGGAAAUGUAUGUCACUUAUUUGAUUACAUCCUUUAACUGACUACUGCUUUGAUUCUCCAGGUGGCUGGUAAAAUAUUAGCAAAAGUUACUAAGCUAUUAUUGAAUAGAUGCUAUCCCAAUCCCAAGAUAUCUCUUGAACCUGGCAAGGAUGAGAGUGGACAGUGGUUUCAGUUGAUUUUUUUCAGGAGGCCUUAGGUGCUAUUAACAUCUUUGUCUAUAGAUUGUCUACCUAUAGAAAACAAAAUCUUUUCAGGGGACUUAACAACUAUGUUAAGGCCCAUAUGCUAAGAGCUAUUGAGAUUUCAAAUAUAUAUUGUGUCCUGACAUCUUAGUGGGGCAUGCAUGAAUAACUGCAAGACAGUUUCUGCUUCUGCUUGUUUCCUAUGGGUCCUUAGAUCUGCUGGGGACUAAUAUAGGGAAUUGAGAAAUAGCAGUGGGCAGUACAAAGAACACUAGAUUGGGAGUUGGUUUCAUUUCCGGGCUCCAUCACAUAUUGUGUGACUGACUAAACAUUACCUGACAUGACAGUUGCCUUAAAAAAUAUGAUCGUAUUUAUACUAGCUUUGUAAAUUUGUUUGAUAGUAGUUGUUACUAAUAUAUAACUCUCUAUCGUUUGCCUUGUCAUUUUUUUUUUAGUAAUUUCUGCCCAAAGGCUCACUCUCCAAUGACAAUAUUCCUAAUUUUUUUUUUAUGCAUUGGGCCCAGGAUCCUUUGACUUUUUAAAAACAUCACCCUUAUUUCUACUGAUAUCUUUCUAUCUUGGAUCCUUUUCUAAGACUGUCCAAGCGUUUAAAUCCACUUCAUAACACACCAUUUUGGAUUGCCACUCUGUGUUGAAUUAUCCUUUCAGGCCUUAGAAGGAAUUGGUAGUGAUAGUUUUCCCUGGUGUCCCUUCAUGUCUUGGCCCCUCCCUUCUUACCGGUUUUCACAUGCUCUUUUUGAAGACAGAACAGGGAGAUACAGAAUAUCAACUUGAAGAUUUCUCAUUCUUGUCUCCUGAUCUGGCCACAGUCAGUUUUCCAUGAGCCAGGAAGCAGAGUAAUGGGAGCCAAAAACCAAGAAAAUAAAAUACCUACAUGCUUUAUUAGA